rnacentral:rRNA from 1 species
AGUGAACGCUGGCGGUAGGCCUAACACAUGCAAGUCGAACGGCAGCACAGUAAGAGCUUGCUCUUACGGGUGGCGAGUGGCGGACGGGUGAGGAAUACAUCGGAAUCUACUUUUUCGUGGGGGAUAACGUAGGGAAACUUACGCUAAUACCGCAUACGACCUACGGGUGAAAGCAGGGGAUCUUCGGACCUUGCGCGAUUGAAUGAGCCGAUGUCGGAUUAGCUAGUUGGCGGGGUAAAGGCCCACCAAGGCGACGAUCCGUAGCUGGUCUGAGAGGAUGAUCCGCCACACUGGAACUGAGACACGGUCCAGACUCCUACGGGAGGCAGCAGUGGGGAAUAUUGGACAAUGGGCGCAAGCCUGAUCCAGCCAUGCCGCGUGGGUGAAGAAGGCCUUCGGGUUGUAAAGCCCUUUUGUUGGGAAAGAAAAGCAGCAGGUUAAUACCCCGCUGUUCUGACGGUACCCAAAGAAUAAGCACCGGCUAACUUCGUG